GGAAAAUAGGCAUGGUGCUUUCUGCUGCAGGAGGCUGCCUCACAAGUCCUUUCCCAGCCCAGAUAUGUAUUGAGUGUCAAGUUGGCCACUGACAAUUUACGCUUUUCUGCAGAAGAGCUUUGGGAUGUGCCUUGGCUGUUGAUUUUCAGUGGCAGAAGCUCAUGGCUUUCAGCUCUAACCUUCAGAAUUUGCUGCUAGUGGACAACAGCCUCAUCACAGUCAGCAAAUACGCAGGAGCUAGAGCUCUUGCAAGGCACUGGUGAGGAUCAGAGCCUUGGAGGUAACUUCAUUCUCCAGCACACUCUGAUGCUGCCUGAUCUGUGAACAUCUGUGAUUCUCCAGAUUGUCAGACUUUCAGAGAUGGAGCUACUAAAUCCUGCAACCAUCAUGAAUACCUACAUAGUACUGACCUCAUGUUUCUGAGGAUUCCACAAGCUGUAAGAAGAAACCCUUGUGAAUGCAGACUCCCAUCCCCUCUGGAAAGUCUGGAAGAAUUUCAUACAGAGUUCAAACGCCAGCAAUUUCCAGUACCAUCUUUCCUCAUCUCCUCGUUACGAGCAGGGUUUCAUUACCUGUGGAACAGCCAGUGCCUGCUCGCCAGCAUCAGCAUUGUCCCCAGAGCCCUCCUGUGAUGGCUGUCGCUCUUUCAUGGUGGGCAGGGACAUGUGGCUCUGCAUCGUUACCAGCAAACGGAGACGCUGCAGGUUCAUUAUCAGAGAAGAGUGUCACGUUUUUUUUUUUUUUUCCUUUUUUUUUUUUUUUCAAAUGGCAUUUCCUCUCAAGCUCGGCAUGGCAGCAACUGUCUUGUGAAUCCUGAGUACCUGCAACCCGACAGUGUUGGCCAAUGUGUUUCAGCAGGGAAUUAAAUUAUGAUUUUUUUUUUUUUUUUUUUUUGGAGAGAGGCUGCUGAAUUCUUUUGAAGCAAAAAUAUCAUUUCCUGGAUGGAGCACACUACGUUGAGUCCUAAAGGGCUUUGUGAAGUUGCUUGGAUAAAAGCUUCUGAUGGUGUUGGCUUGCCAAUGGAUUAAUCAUAAUGUGGAGAAGCUAAAACCCAUCCCAAACUAUGAGAUGCUGAGAGAUUCUCGUAUUUAGCCAGCCUACAGACUGAUGCUUCUGACUUGUACAAAAGCACACUGUUAGACUGCAGGAGCGGUCACUGAUGAAAAAUAACAUUCCCACCAUGCAGUUUUGACAGCUACAUCUCACUGUCGUGCUCUUUUCAACCCGGUGAGGACAGCUGAGUGCCACAAACCUGCUCUGGAGCAGCGUUUGCCGUGGGUAGGGCGAGCACGCAGGUAGCAUCAGCCAGGUUCAUGCACGCUGAGAGCUGUGGGUGCUGUGGUAGCGGCAGGCAUGUGGGGGAAGCUCUGCUGGUUGGUGAAUUUCAUUAAAAAUCUGAGAUGUCUAUGCACACAGCCUUAUUCACAGUUUUUUCUGUAUUGUGAUUUUAGGAUAUAACAAGGUGUUAACAAGAAAAACAUGUUUUCAUUAAAGCUGUAUACAAAAUGUAUCUUUGCCCUGAGCCCUUCUGUGUGUUUAUUUUUCUGAAACAGUCUGUUCCUUAAAGAAACAAACAAAAACUGAAGCAGGGGAAGAAACUUUUUCCUUCCCACGGGAGGGCCCAUUUCCACCACCCCACUUUGAUUCCCAUCGGUGGCAGGUCAUGGGCUGCCAGGUGGUCCAGGCCGGCCCAGGUUAGCACCGUGCCUCACCUCACCUGUGGGGUUCAUUUUGCUAAGCUGUUGUAAACAUUUUGCUCUGCUUUCCU
rnacentral:lncRNA from 1 species